GGGGGGGGGGGGGGGGGGGGUUGGGGGGGGGGGGUGGGGGGGAGGGGCCCGGGUUUGGGGGGGUGGGCGGGUGGCGGGCGGGUGAGUAACCCGUGGGUAACCUGCGCUUGACUUUGGGAUACCGUCAGGAAGCUGGGGCUAAUACCGGAUCGGGGCUCCUGCUGCGUUGGGGGGGUUGGCAGUUUUCGGCGGGUGUGGAUGGACUCGCGGCUUAUCCGCUUGUUGGUGGGGUGGUGGCUUACCAAGGCUUUGACGGGUAGCCGGCCUGAGAGGGUGACCGGCCACAUUGGGACUGAGAUACGGCCCAGACUCCUACGGGAGGAAGCAGUGGGGAAUAUUGCACAAUGGGCGGAAGCCUGAGGCAGCAACGCCGCGUGCGGGAUGACGGCCUUCGGGUUGGAAACCGCUUUCGCCUGUGACGAAGCGUGAGUGACGGUAAUGGGGAAAGAAGCACCGGCUAACUACGU
rnacentral:rRNA from 1 species